rnacentral:snRNA from 1 species
AUCACUUCUCGGCCAUUUGGCUAAGAUCAAAUGUAGUAUCUGUUCUUAUCAGUUUAACAAGAUUAAUAACCAAUUCUGAUUCACAGAUUGGAAGUGCUAGUUUAAACUGUGCCCUUC